rnacentral:rRNA from 1 species
CGGCGGACGGGUGAGUAAUGCUUAGGAAUCUGCCUAUUAGUGGGGGACAACAUUCCGAAAGGAAUGCUAAUACCGCAUACGCCCUACGGGGGAAAGCAGGGGAUCUUCGGACCUUGCGCUAAUAGAUGAGCCUAAGUCAGAUUAGCUAGUUGGUGGGGUAAAGGCCUACCAAGGCGACGAUCUGUAGCGGGUCUGAGAGGAUGAUCCGCCACACUGGGACUGAGACACGGCCCAGACUCCUACGGGAGGCAGCAGUGGGGAAUAUUGGACAAUGGGCGCAAGCCUGAUCCAGCCAUGCCGCGUGUGUGAAGAAGGCCUUUUGGUUGUAAAGCACUUUAAGCGAGGAGGAGGCUACUUGGAUUAAUACUCUUGGAUAGUGGACGUUACUCGCAGAAUAAGCACCGGCUAACUCUGUGCCAGCAGCCGCGGUAAUACAGAGGGUGCGAGCGUUAAUCGGAUUUACUGGGCGUAAAGCGUGCGUAGGCGGCUUUUUAAGUCGGAUGUGAAAUCCCUGAGCUUAACUUAGGAAUUGCAUUCGAUACUGGGAAGCUAGAGUAUGGGAGAGGAUGGUAGAAUUCCAGGUGUAGCGGUGAAAUGCGUAGAGAUCUGGAGGAAUACCGAUGGCGAAGGCAGCCAUCUGGCCUAAUACUGACGCUGAG